rnacentral:rRNA from 1 species
UACGUAGGUGACAAGCGUUGUCCGGAUUUACUGGGCGUAAAGAGCGCGCAGGCGGUCGAUCAAGUCGAGUGUGAAAGCCCCCGGCUCAACUGGGGAGGGUCAUUCGAUACUGAUCGACUCGAAGGCAGGAGAGGGUAGUGGAAUUCCCGGUGUAGUGGUGAUAUGCGUAGAUAUCGGGAGGAACACCUGUGGCGAAGGCGGCUUUCUGGGCCCUACCUGACGCUGAGACGCGAAAGCGUGGGGAGCGAACCGG